GGGGGCCCGCAAGCGGUGGAGCAUGUGGUUUAAUUCGAUGCAACGCGAAAAACCUUACCUGGUCUUGACAUCCAUAGAAUUUGAUAGAAAUAUCAAAGUGCCUUCGGGAACUAUGAGACAGGUGCUGCAUGGCUGUCGUCAGCUCGUGUUGUGAAAUGUUGGGUUAAGUCCCGCAACGAGCGCAACCCUUAUCCUUUGUUGCCAUCAGGUAAAGCUGGGAACUCAAAGGAGACUGCCGGUUAUAAACCGGAGGAAGGUGGGGACGACGUCAAGUCAUCAUGGCCCUUACGACCAGGGCUACACACGUGCUACAAUGGUAUAUACAAAGAGAUGCAACUCUGCAAGGAUAAGCAAACCUCAUAAAGUGUAUCGUAGUCCGGACUGGAGUCUGCAACUCGACUCCACGAAGUCGGAAUCGCUAGUAAUCGUGGAUCAGAAUGCCACGGUGAAUACGUUCCCGGGCCUUGUACACACC
rnacentral:rRNA from 1 species